rnacentral:rRNA from 1 species
AUUAGCUAGUUGGUGAGGUAACGGCUCACCAAGGCAUCGAUGGGUAGGGGCUCUGAGAGGAUUGUCCCCCACACUGGUACUGAGACACGGACCAGACUCCUACGGGAGGCAGCAGUAAGGAAUAUUGGGCAAUGGACGCAAGUCUGACCCAGCCAUGCCGCGUGAAGGAAGACGGCCCUAUGGGUUGUAAACUUCUUUUCUCAGGGGGUAAACUCCGGAACGAGUUCCGGACUGAAAGUACCUGAGGAAUAAGCAUCGGCUAACUCCGUGCCAGCAGCCGCGGUAAUACGGAGGAUGCGAGCGUUAUCCGGAUUCAUUGGGUUUAAAGGGUGCGCAGGCGGGUAUAUAAGUCGGAGGUGAAAUUCUGAUGCUCAACAUCAGCCGUGCCUUCGAUACUGUAUAUCUAGAGUCAAGUUGGAGUAGGCGGAAUGUGUUGUGUAGCGGUGAAAUGCUUAGAUAUAACACAGAACACCGAUCGCGAAGGCAGCUUACUAAACUUUGACUGACGCUCAUGCACGAAAGCGUGGGGAUCAAACAGGAUUAGAUACCCUGGUAGUCCACGCAGGAAAC